rnacentral:rRNA from 1 species
GACGAACGCUGGCGGCGUGCCUAGUACAUGCAAGUCGAACGCUUCUUUCCUCCCGAGUGCUUGCACUCAAUUGGAAAGAGGAGUGGCGGACGGGUGAGUAACACGUGGGUAACCUACCCAUCAGAGGGGGAUAACACUUGGAAACAGGUGCUAAUACCGCAUAACAGUUUAUGCCGCAUGGCAUAAGAGUGAAAGGCGCUUUCGGGUGUCGCUGAUGGAUGGACCCGCGGUGCAUUAGCUAGUUGGUGAGGUAACGGCUCACCAAGGCCACGAUGCAUAGCCGACCUGAGAGGGUGCUCGGCGCCACUGGGACUGAGACACGGCCCAGACUCCUACGGGAGGCAGCAGUAGGGAAUCUUCGGCAAUGGCCGAAAGUCUGACCGAGCAACGCCGCGUGAGUGAAGAAGGUUUUCGGAUCGUAAAACUCUGUUGUUAGAGAAGAACAAGGACGUUAGUAACUGAACGUCCCCUGACGGUAUCUAACCAGAAAGCCACGGCUAACUCCGUG